rnacentral:piRNA from 1 species
CUGAUAGUGAGUUCUUAUGAGAUCUGGUUGUA